CCAGAGUCCGACGCGAGCCAAUGGGGCCGGGAGGUGGGGCUCGGUCGUCUUAGAAGGGACUCGGGAUUGUCGCCGCUAUCCCGGCGUCGGACGUGUGGGACAGCUGCCUGAGUCCUCGGGUGCAGUGUUCGCUGCUGCCAUGAGCUAUACAGGCUUUGUCCAGGGAUCUGAAACCACUUUGCAGUCGACAUACUCAGACACAAGCGCUCAGCCCACCUGUGAUUAUGGCUAUGGAACUUGGAACUCUGGGACAAACAGAGGCUACGAGAACUAUGGCUAUGGCUACGGCUAUGGCCAGGAUAACACCACCAACUAUGGGUAUGGUAUGGCCACUUCAAACUCUUGGGAAAUGCCUAACUCUGACACAAAUGCAAACCCUAGUGCUGCGGGUAGCGCCAGUGCCGAUUCCGUUUUGUCCAGAAUUAACCAGCGCUUAGAUCUGGUGCCACACUUGGAGACAGACAUGAUACAAGGAGGCGUGUACGGCUCAGGCGGAGAAAGAUAUGAUUCCUAUGAGGCCUGUGACUCGAGGGCCAUUCUGAGCGAGCGCGACCUAUACCGGUCAGGCUACGACUAUGGCGAACUUGACCCCGAGAUGGAAAUGGCCUACGAGGGCCAAUACGAUGCCUACCGCGACCAGUUCCGCAUGCGUGGCGGCGACACCUUUGGCCCACGGGCUCAGGGCUGGGCCCGGGACUCCAGGAGUGGCCGGCCGAUGGCCUCGGGCUAUGGGCGCAUGUGGGAAGACCCCAUGGGGGCCCGGGGCCAGUGCAUGCCUGGUGCCUCCCGGCUGCCCUCCCUCUUCUCCCAGAACAUCAUCCCCGAGUACAGCAUGUUCCAGGGCAUGCGUGGCGGGGGCGCCUUCCCAGGUGGCUCCCGCUUUGGCUUCGGGUUUGGCAAUGGCAUGAAGCAGAUGAGGCGGACCUGGAAGACCUGGACCACGGCCGACUUCCGGACCAAGAAGAAGAAGAGAAAGCAGUGUGGCAGUCCCGAUGAGCCAGACAGCAAAGCCACCCGGACAGACUGCUCAGACAACAGUGAUUCAGACAAUGAUGAGGGCACUGAGGGGGAGGCCGCAGAGGGCACUGAAGGCACCGAGGCUGUGGAGAAGGGCUCCAGAGCAGAAGGAGAAGACGAAGAGGGAAAAGAAGAAGGCAAAGAAGAAAGCAAAGAGGAUGCAGAAAAGGGGGCCCUGAGCACCCAGGAUGAUAGUGGCCAGAUCAAGCGCAAGUUGCAGGCAGGCAAGAAGAGCCAGGACAAGCAGAAAAAGCGGCAGCGAGACCGCAUGGUGGAAAGGAUCCAGUUUGUGUGUUCUCUCUGCAAAUACCGGACCUUCUACGAGGAGGAGAUGGCCAGCCACCUCGAUAGCAAGUUCCACAAGGAGCACUUUAAAUACGUAGGCACCAAGCUCCCCAAGCAGACAGCCGACUUUCUGCAGGAGUAUGUCACCAAUAAGACCAAGAAGACAGAGGAACUCCGGAAAACCGUGGAGGACCUUGAUGGUCUGAUUCAGCAGAUCUACAGAGACCAGGAUCUAACCCAAGGGAGGGUCAGUGAGAACAGCCUCAGGCCCACGUGGAAAUGGCAGGGCGAGAAAUUGCCAUGGAGCAUUUUGUGAAGAAGGUAGAGGCAGCCCACUGUGCAGCCUGUGACCUCUUCAUUCCCAUGCAGUUUGGGAUCAUCCAGAAGCACCUCAAGACCAUGGAUCACAACCGCAACCGCAGGGGGCGCCUGGCUGGCUCACUUGGUUAAAUGUCCGACGCCUGGUCUGGUUUCAGCUCAGGUCAUGAUUUCAGGGUCAUGAGAUCAAGCCCCGCCCAUGUUGGGCUCCACACGAGUCGGCUUGAGAUUCUCUCCCUAUCCCUCUUUCUCUUCCCCCUCCCCCCCCACUCCCACUUCUGUUCUCUCUUAAAUAAAUAAAUAAAUAAAUAAAUAAAAUCUUUUAAAAAAGAGUUUUUUUAUAAAUUCUAGAUACAAAUCCUUUAUCAGACCUACACUUUACAUUUUCUCCCAAUCUGUGGGUUGAUUUCUCACCUUGAUAUGUCUGUAGCACAAAAGUUUCAUUUUGACGAAGACCAGUUACUUAUUUUGUUGGCUUGUGCUUGGGGUGUCAUGGCCAAGAAUCCAUUGUUAAAUCCAGGGUCACAAAGAUUUACCCUUGCAUUUCUCAUAAGAAUUUUAUAAGUUUUAGCUCUUUUAAUUUGGAUCUUUUGAUUCCAUCUCUUUUUUAAUCCAGUUUGACUAUCUUUUGAUUAUAUUGCUUAAUCCAUUCACAUUUAAUGUUACUACUGAGAUUAUCAGAUUUACAUCUCUUGUUCUAUUCCCCCUUUACUGGUUUUUUGGUUUUUUAAAUUUUUUAGUGUAACAUUUUAAUUUCCUUAAUGAUUUUUUGUGUGUGCUACAUUCUUUGGGGGGGGCAUCAUUUUCUGAGUGGUUUCUCUAGGCUUUAUACAUAUUAAUUUCUCAGGAUCUUUUUCAGAUAUAAUUUCAGUGGGAUUGAGUUACUCCUAUAUAGUUCUCUCUACAUAGAAGAUUGUUGUGUUAUUACUGUUGUACGUAGUAUUUUAUCUGUAUGUUAUAAUCCCAGUAACCCAAAGGCAAUAGUAUAAUACAGUAUCAUGACUACUUUAUGUAAUUUUAUGUGUUUUAAGGAAGCUUACAGAAGAAAUGAGAGCAAUUACACAUUUCUAGUUUUUGUUAUAUUAGCCUUCUUAUUUCUCACUUUUGGUUCUCUUCAUUUGAGUUUUACCUGUGGAUUUAAGUUAGCAUCUGUAGUCACUUCCUUAUUAGUUCAAUACAGCUUUAGUCCCCUCACUUUCUUUGUGCCAUUAUUGUUAAACUUGUUAUAUUUCUAUAUGUUAUAGGCCAGACAGUACAAGUGUGUCUGUGUGUCUCUGUAUGUGUAUAUAUUGCUUUGUACAACUUCUUUUCAGUCAGUUGAGAAGACAAGCAAAGAAUUACACGUUUAUAGUUUCUUUUAUAAUUAUUUUUAUUGGUCUUUCACGUGGAUUUGCAUUACUGUCUGGAGUCACUUGCUUUCAGUCUGAUGAACUUCCUUUGGUAUUUCUUACAAGGUCUGAUGGCAGCAGACUCUCUCAGGUGUUCUUGAUUGUGGAAUGUCUUUAUUUCACUUUUAUUUUUGAAAGAUAGCUUUGCUGGGCAUAGGAGUCUUGGUUGACACUUUUUUUCUUUGAACAUUUUAAAUACGUUAUUUUGCUGCUUUCUGGCAUUGUUUGUCAUGAGAAGCCAACCUUUAACCUUAUUGGGAUUCCCUUUUAAGUGAUAAUUCAUUUUUCUUUUGCUGCUUUCAACAUUUUUCCCUUGUCUUCAGCUUUCAGCAUUUUUAUUAUGAUGACUCUUCUUGUGGAUCUCUUUGUAUUUAUUCUACUUGGAGUUUGUUGAGCUUGUUGGAUGUCUAGAUUAAAGGUUUUCACCAGAUUUAUCAAGUUUGCAUGCAUUUUUUUCUUCAUAUAUUUUUUUCUGCUUCUUGUUCCUCAUCUUCCGGUGUUUCCAUUAUGCAUGUGUUGGGUCAUCUACUGGUGUCCCAAGGUUGUCUGAGAAUAUUUUUCUUCCUUUGUUCUCUGUUUUUCAGAUCAUAGCUCUACCAAUCUAUAGAUUCUCUAAUUCUUCUGCCAGUUCAAAUCUACCAUUAAGCCCAUCUAGUGAAUUUUUCAUUUCAGUUAUUGUACUUAUUUGUCUAGUCAAAUUAUUUUUUGAAAGCUCCCUCAUCCCCAAAAUCUGAAGCCUUUGCUAGGGUGCCUUGGAGGAGGAAGCCAUGGGCAAGUGCACAGCCACCCUGGGGUAACAGUGGUUUUUGACUGACAGGGUUCUCUUUUUUUCUUUCCCAGACUAAACUUAACUAUUAUAAACUACACAAAUUGUUGGUUGAUUGCUGUGUUGUUUUCAGCAAUGCCUUGAGGCAUUAAAUUGCUCUCCAAUCUGAUCCAAUUAAAUAAAUCCAGGCUCUUUUAUACAGAUUAUUUUUGAGGUCAUUGAGAGUUCUGAGCCCUGGAGGCUCUUCUUAGCUGUUUUAUUGGUUCUCUCUGGUAACGGGGACAGCUGAUGGUUUAGCUUAUAUUAGUAUCAAAUCUACCGGUCUCCUUUUAGUUGCUUUUCCCCACACCCUCCACUGUUUUGAGAGAGCCCUCUGUCUUGAACUUCCUUACACACUUGUGAAUAAAAUAAGUUCCUUUGGAAAGAGAUUUGGGAGCUCACUGUUUUAAGGCCUGUCCCUUGGUAAAACCUGGGCCUGGUAGCUUUUCAUUACUCAGUGUUUCUUCAUUUGCUGUAUGUCCUUAGGACCUUUUCCUUUGACUUUAAAGGGUUGUGUUGUUCUAUAGUCUUCAUCAGUUUCACUAGGGAGUAGGUUCACAUAGCUUCUCAAGUUGUCAUGCUGGAAGUCUAUCCUCUGAUGUGUUUUUAGCAAGAUUUUUAAACCUAAUUCCAAAAAUCUGAUAAGGAUAAUGCCAAAAUGAAACUGUAGAUUAGUUUAUUAUUAAAGAAUAAAUGUGGUAAGUAUAAUAUUAGUAAUUACCCAUCUGGUAGUGAUUCAACUGUGUACUACAUUAUAAGUAAAGUUUGUUUCUGGAAUACAAGGAUGGUUCAGUAAGAAAUUAGCAACAGUAUCAGUAUGAAAUGCUGGAAAUGAAAACUUUAUAUGCAAAUAACGUGAUUAUAUUCUUAGAAAAGCUGAAUGAUUCCAACAAAAUGGUCUUUGAAUUAACCGAAUGUAAUAAAGGAGUGGAAUUCAAGAUAAUACCAGAAAGUAAUAGCCUUUCUCCAUUCUGGUAAUACCCAGUUAAAAAUGAAAAUGGGGAAAAAUCUACUCACAGUAACCACAAAGUGUAUAAAAUAACUAAGAAUAUAGAUUUAAGAAGAAACGCCAAGGAUAGGAAAUAAGAAUUCAAUGAAUAGAGGAAUAAUGGUGUUCUUCAUAGGAGGUUUAAUAGCAGAACAAAACAAACACUACAUCGCCCCAUAUUAGUGUGGACAGUUCAUGGGAUUCCAGUCAUAUUCUGGCGAGGGGGACUGGAUGAAAUUGCUUUAAAGUUUAUGUUGUAGAAUUAAGUCUAACAACAGCCAAGAAAAAAAAAUUUUUUUUAAGAUUGUACUUAUUUAUUUGACAGAGAGAGACACAGCGAGAGAGGGAACACAAGCAGGGGGAGUGGGAGAGGGAGAAGCAGGCUUCCCGCGGAGCAGGGAGCCCGAUGUGGGGCUCGAUCCCAGGAUCCUGGGAUCUUGACCUGAGCCAAAGGCAAAUGCUUAACCAACUGAGCCACCCAGGCGCCCCAACAGUCAAGAAAAUUAUAGAAACGGUGGUAAUUGAGUUCAGGGAGUUGGUUUAGCAGAUAUAACUUUUUUCAAAGCCACUGCAAUUAAAAACAAAAAGUGAUAUUGGCAUAGUAAUAAAGCAGUGGAACCAGAAUAGAGUCUAAUGAAAGAUGCCAGUAAGUUUUGGAACUUAGUAAUUGUCAAAGUCAGUACAGGUUCCUUAUCUGAAACUCUAGGGCCAGAUGUUUUCAAAUUAGUUUUUGGAUUUCAGAACAGCUACAUGGUAAUGAUCACUAACAUCCCUAGUGGGACCUGGGAAAAUGACUUGUAGUUGAGCCAUCAAUAAUGCCUCAAAUGACUUAUGUAAGUGGGAUAAAUAAAGAUGGUAUAAAAACACAAUGGAGGGACGCAUGGGUGGCUCAGUCGGUUAAGUGGCUGCCUUCGGCUCAGGUUAUGAUCCCAAGGUCCUGGGAUCGAGUCCUGCAUCAGGCUCCGUGCUCAGCAGGGAGCCUGCUUCUCCCUCUGCUUGUGCUCGCUCUCUCUCUGACCAAUAAGUAAAUAAAAUCUUAUAAAUAUAUACAUACGUAUAUACAUACAUACACAAUGGAGCUUAGGAGAAAACUCUUCCUCUGGAUUUCAGAUUUGUGGAGAAGGGAUUAUUAUAGACCCAUAUGUCAAUUUAAUGGAGAAACAAUUUAUCUCAUUAAUUUCUGGGACAAAAAGCUGGACCCCUAACCUCCCACCAUAUAUUAAAUUCCAGAAAUAAUGUAAAAAAUAAAAGAGCAAAAUUUAGAAGAUUGUUUACCUUAAGGUUACAGAAGGCCUUCCUGAGCAAGCCAGGAAACCCAGAGGUCGUGGAGAAGAUGACCUCCUAGAAUGCUGGGCAGGUGGCCCCAUGCGUGUAUUAGAUCACUCACAUUCACUAAUGGGCGGGAAAUGCCACAAGAGGCCUCAUCCUUCUUUUUUCUUUCCUUCAACCACAAAAGUAUCCAACAGUAGUAACACCUGAUGCUGCUGAGGAGGCAAAAGGAUAAGUACAUUGUUUUAAUACAGGUGGAGGAAGCCAACUUACUAUAACUUAACACAACUUUUUUGCAGAGUACUGAGGGAACCUGUUGGGUAGCACCAACAUGGAAGUAUUUAAGUUUAUUCUGGUGGUGUUUGGUUCUUGUAGCAAAAAUCUUGAAACCAUGUAAGUGGGCUUCCCUUGGGAGUUGUGUGUCCAUCUCUAUGCCUACAAGGGAGGAGGAUCAUGUGUUGGCAAGUAAGGAGGUGCAGAGGAAAUGGUCUGACCUAGCAUCCUAAUUGUGCAUCUUUAACUUGUUUGAUUAUGAGGGCUAUCCAUAUUUUCCCCAAAUAGUAGAGAAAAUGAGUAAAGAAAGAAAGGUGAAUGUGGGAAAAGGGAAUAGAAACAGCAAGUGAGAGGAUGAUGUAAAGAGUUGGCUGGGGUGCAGCCAUAGGGUUCCUGGGGGUGGGUUCCCCCAUGCCAACAAAAAUGGCUUUUAUCAUCUUCUUUCAGCUUAUGGCUUUACACAUACAUUAUCUUCAUAAUGAUGAAAGUGAGAUUUGCCUGUACUUAAACCAUUGAGGAAACCACUUAGCAUUUCCGUGUAAAUCCUUCCAGACAAAAAGGCUCUGGCAUGUUGUGCAAACUGGCCCAUCACACACCUUUCUCAGAACACAGGAGGAGAUGAGCCCUAUUUUUUUUAUAAGAUUUUAUUUACUUGAGAGAGAGAGGGCACACAAGAGGUGGGGAGGGACAGAGGGAGAGGGAGACUCCCCGCUGAGUGCAGAACUCCACAUGGGGCUUGAUCCUAGGACCAGACCCUGUGAGAUCAUGACUUGAACUGAAGUCAGUCGUCUAACCGAUUUAGCCCCAGAGAUGUCAGUCGUCUAACCGAUUUAGCCCCAGAGAUGAGCCCUAUCUGCAUGGUGUUCUUUUGAAUGUUUUAUUUAACUACUUCACAGAACUUUUAGGUGCUUUCCAGUUUUUCACUACUUCAACUAUGUGCAUGAAUGUUUCCAAGUCUUAAACUUAGGCUAGAGUCUUGUAAAGAAUUACUGAGACAAAUUUUUGAGACACUUUUACUUUUGAUACAUUUUAUCAGACUGCUUCCCAGAAAGUAAGUAAACAGUUGACCCUGUCAUCGUCCGGGUAGAACGGUCUCUCUUCACUUUUGCCAUUUGGGGUAUAAUUCUUCAUCCUGGGAA